GACGAACGCUGGCGGCGUGCCUAACACAUGCAAGUCGAACGGAAAGGCCCUGCUUUUGUGGGGUGCUCGAGUGGCGAACGGGUGAGUAACACGUGAGUAACCUGCCCUUGACUUUGGGAUAACUUCAGGAAACUGGGGCUAAUAUCGGAUAGGAGCUCCUGCUGCAUGGUGGGGGUUGGAAAGUUUCGGCGGUUGGGGAUGGACUCGCGGCUUAUGAGCUUGUUGGUGGGGUAGUGGCUUACCCAGGCUUUGACGGGUAGCCGGCCUGAGAGGGGGACCGGCCUCAAUGGGACUAAGGGACGGCCCAGACGCGUACGGUAGGCAGCAGUGGGGAAUAUUACACAAUAGGCGGAAGCCUGAUGCGGAAACGCCGGGUGCGGAAUGACGGCCUUCGGGGUGUAAACCGCUUUCGCCUGAGACGAAGCGUGAGUGACGGUAAUGGGUAAAGAAGCACCGGCUAACUACGUG
rnacentral:rRNA from 1 species